rnacentral:rRNA from 1 species
UAAGUGUGAAGCCCACCUCAAGAUGAGAUUUCCCAUAGCAUAAGCUAGUAAGACCCCUUGAAGACUACAAGGUUGAUAGGUCAGAGGUGUAAGUGCGGCAACGUAUUUAGCUGACUGAUACUAAUAGGUCGAGGGCUUGACCAA